GAGAAUGAUUUUGUAUUAGCCUUAACUUCUUUCUUUUUGUUGCUCAUUGUCGUCUAUCAAAAUAUUUAUGUCAAGCAAUUUUCGUGACUGACCGAUGAUGCAACCAAUAAAAUCUUUUCUUCCUUUCCAAUUAUACGGAAUUUCACUAAAUGAGAUUUAACUACCCCUGUCCUUAUUAAAAUUUGAAAUUUUUACUCAUAAUUAACCUAUUGCUCUGAUACCACAAGAUGUCACGCCCCGGACCCGGAUCCGUGACACGGCCGUGCUAUUGCCGACUAUCGCCCACAGUAGCACGCAGCCUCAUACAGGGGUAACAGGUAGCCAAAAAGGAUUC
rnacentral:lncRNA from 1 species